rnacentral:rRNA from 1 species
AUCAUUGGGCGUAAGCGCCUGUAGGUUGUUUAGUAAGUCUGUUGUUAAAGACCAGGGCUUAACCCUGGGAAAGCAAUGGAAACUACUAGACUUGAGUAUGGCAGGGGUAGAGGGAAUUUCUAGUGUAGCGGUGAAAUGCGUAGAUAUUAGAAAGAACACCGGCGGCGAAAGCGCUCUACUGGACCAUUACUGACACUCAGAGGCGAAAGCUAGGGGAGCAAAAGGGAUUAGAUACCCUGGUAG